rnacentral:rRNA from 1 species
CCUGCAGUGGGUACGGGCAGACUAGAGUGCGGUAGGGGAGAAUGGAAUUCCUGGUGUAGCGGUGGAAUGCGCAGAUAUCAGGAGGAACACCGAUGGCGAAGGCAGUUCUCUGGGCCGUUACUGACGCUGAGGAGCGAAAGCGUGGGGAGCGAACAGGAUUAGAUACCCUGGUAGUCCACGCCGUAAACGUUGGGAACUAGAUGUGGGGACCUUUCCACGGUCUCCGUGUCGCAGCUAACGCAUUAAGUUCCCCGCCUGGGGAGUACGGCCGCAAGGCUAAAACUCAAAGGAAUUGACGGGGGCCCGCACAAGCGGCGGAGCAUGCGGAUUAAUUCGAUGCAACGCGAAGAACCUUACCAAGGCUUGACAUAUACCGGAAACUUCCAGAAAUGGUUGCCCCGCAAGGUCGGUAUACAGGUGGUGCAUGGUUGUCGUCAGCUCGUGUCGUGAGAUGUUGGGUUAAGUCCCGCAACGAGCGCAACCCUCGUUCUAUGUUGCCAGCACGUCAUGGUGGGAACUCAUAGGAGACUGCCGGGGUCAACUCGGAGGAAGGUGGGGAUGACGUCAAAUCAUCAUGCCCCUUAUGUCUUGGGCUUCACGCAUGCUACAAUGGCCGGUACAAAGGGCUGCGAUACCGUAAGGUGGAGCGAAUCCCAAAAAGCCGGUCUCAGUUCGGAUUGAGGUCUGCAACUCGACCUCAUGAAGUCGGAGUCGCUAGUAAUCGCAGAUCAGCAACGCUGCGGUGAAUACGUUCCCGGGCCUUGUACACACCGCCCGUCAAGUCAUGAAAGUCGGUAACACCCGAAGCCGGUGGCCUAACCCCUUGUGGGAGGGAGCCGUCGAAGGUGGGAUCGGUGAUUAGGACUAAGUC